GGCUCAAUGGUCUAGUAGUAUGAUACUCGCUUUGGGAUUUGAUCUUCGGAUCCGAAUGCGCUGCGAGUGGUCUCGGGUUCAAUUCCCGAUUGAGCCC